rnacentral:rRNA from 1 species
GAUGAACGCUGGCGGCGUGCCUAAUACAUGCAAGUCGAGCGAACAGACGAGGAGCUUGCUCCUCUGACGUUAGCGGCGGACGGGUGAGUAACACGUGGAUAACCUACCUAUAAGACUGGGAUAACUUCGGGAAACCGGAGCUAAUACCGGAUAAUAUAUUGAACCGCAUGGUUCAAUAGUGAAAGACGGUUUUGCUGUCACUUAUAGAUGGAUCCGCGCCGCAUUAGCUAGUUGGUAAGGUAACGGCUUACCAAGGCAACGAUGCGUAGCCGACCUGAGAGGGUGAUCGGCCACACUGGAGCUGAGACCCGGGCCAGACACAAACGGGAGGGAGCAGUAGGGAAUCGUCCGUAAUGGGCGAAAGCUUGAAGGAGCAACGCAGCGUGAGUGAUGAAUGUCUUCGGAUCGUAAAACUCUGUUAGUAGGAAAGAACAAAUGUGUAAGGAACUAUGCACGUCUGGACGGUACCUAAUCAGAAAGCCACGGCUAACUACGU